rnacentral:rRNA from 1 species
GACGAACGCUGGCGGCGUGCUUAACACAUGCAAGUCGAACGGAAAGGCCCUGCUUUUGUGGGGUGCUCGAGUGGCGAACGGGUGAGUAACACGUGAGUAACCUGCCCUUGACUUUGGGAUAACUUCAGGAAACUGGGGCUAAUACCGGAUAGGAGCUCCUGCUGCAUGGUGGGGGUUGGAAAGUUUCGGCGGUUGGGGAUGGACUCGCGGCUUAUCAGCUUGUUGGUGGGGUAGUGGCUUACCAAGGCUUUGACGGGUAGCCGGCCUGAGAGGGUGACCGGCCACAUUGGGACUGAGAUACGGCCCAGACUCCUACGGGAGGCAGCAGUGGGGAAUAUUGCACAAUGGGCGGAAGCCUGAUGCAGCAACGCCGCGUGCAGGAUGACGGCCUUCGGGUUGUAAACCGCUUUCGCCUGUGACGAAGCGUGAGUGACGGUAAUGGGUAAAGAAGCACCGGCUAACUACGCG